GAUGAACGCUGGCGGCGUGCCUAAUACAUGCAAGUCGAGCGAACAGACGAGGAGCUUGCUCCUUUGAUGUUAGCGGCGGACGGGUGAGUAACACGUAGGUCCCCUCCAUAUAACACUGGGAUCACUUCGGGAACCCGGCGCUAAUCCCGGAUAAUAUUUAGCACCGCAUGUUUCGAUAGUGAAACAUGGCUUUGCUAUCAUUUAUAGAUGUCCCUGCGCCGUAUUAGCUAGUUGGUAAGGUAACGGCUUACCAAGGCAACGCUACGUAGCCGACCUGAGAGGGUGAUCGGCCACACUGGAACUGAGACACGGUCCAGACUCCUACGGGAGGCAGCAGUAGGGAAUCUUCCGCAAUGGGCGAAAGCCUGACGGAGCAACGCCGCGUGAGUGAUGAAGGUCUUCGGAUCGUAAAACUCUGUUAUUAGGGAAGAACAAACGUGUAAGUAACUAUGCACGUCUUGACGGUACCUAAUCAGAAAGCCACGGCUAACUACGUG
rnacentral:rRNA from 1 species